AUGGACGUACCUCUGGUGUACCAGUUGUUCUGCCAAGGGCAUGGCUGGGUAGCUAUGUACGGAAUGGAUAAGCGCUGAAAGCAUCUAAGCGCGAAGCCAACUUCAAGAUAAGAUUUCCCACCGCAAGGGUAAGACUCCAGAAAGACUAUCUGGUUGAUAGGUCGAAGGUGUAAGUGCAGCAAUGUAUUUAGCUUAUCGAUACUAAUAGGUCGAGGACUUGACCAAU
rnacentral:rRNA from 1 species